UCCAGACUCCUACGGGAGGCAGCAGUGAGGAAUAUUGGUCAAUGGCCGAGAGGCUGAACCAGCCAAGUCGCGUGAGGGAUGACGGCCCUACGGGUUGUAAACCUCUUUUGUCGGGGAGCAAAGAGAGUCACGUGUGGCGCAUUGAGAGUACCCGAAGAAAAAGCAUCGGCUAACUCCGUGCCAGCAGCCGCGGUAAUACGGAGGAUGCGAGCGUUAUCCGGAUUUAUUGGGUUUAAAGGGUGCGCAGGCGGAAUGUCAAGUCAGCGGUAAAAUUUCGGGGCUCAACCCCGUCGUGCCGUUGAAACUGGCGUUCUUGAGUGAGCGAGAAGUAUGCGGAAUGCGUGGUGUAGCGGUGAAAUGCAUAGAUAUCACGCAGAACUCCGAUUGCGAAGGCAGCAUACCGGCGCUCAACUGACGCUCAUGCACGAAGGCGUGGGUAUCGAACAGGAUUAGAUACCCCCGUA
rnacentral:rRNA from 1 species